rnacentral:rRNA from 1 species
GACGAACGCUGGCGGCGUGCUUAACGCAUGCAAGUCGAACGGAAAGGCCCUGCUUUUGUGGGGUGCUCGAGUGGCGAACGGGUGAGUAACACGUGAGUAACCUGCCCUUGACUUUGGGAUAACUUCAGGAAACUGGGGCUAAUACCGGAUAUGAGCUCCUGCUGCAUGGUGGGGGUUGGAAAGUUUCGGCGGUUGGGGAUGGACUCGCGGCUUAUCAGCUUGUUGGUGGGGUAGUGGCUUACCAAGGCUUUGACGGGUAGCCGGCCUGAGAGGGUGACCGGCCACAUUGGGACUGAGAUACGGCCCAGACUCCUACGGGAGGAAGCAGUGGGGAAUAUUGCAAAAUGGGCGGAAGCCUGAUGCAGCAACGCCGCGUGCGGGAUGACGGCCUUCGGGUUGUAAACCGCUUUCGCCUGUGACGAAGCGUGAGUGACGGUAAUGGGUAAAGAAGCACCGGCUAACUACGUG